GGGUUGUGAGGUUAAGCGACUAAGCGUACACGGUGGAUGCCCUGGCAGUCAGAGGCGAUGAAGGACGUGCUAAUCUGCGAUAAGCGUCGGUAAGGUGAUAUGAACCGUUAUAACCGGCGAUUUCCGAAUGGGGAAACCCAGUGUGAUUCGUCACACUAUCAUUAACUGAAUCCAUAGGUUAAUGAGGCGAACCGGGGGAACUGAAACAUCUAAGUACCCCGAGGAAAAGAAAUCAACCGAGAUUCCCCCAGUAGCGGCGAGCGAACGGGGAGCAGCCCAGAGCCUGAAUCAGUGUGUGUGUUAGUGGAAGCGUCUGGAAAGGCGCGCGAUACAGGGUGACAGCCCCGUACACAAAAAUGCACAUGCUGUGAGCUCGAUGAGUAGGGCGGGACACGUGGUAUCCUGUCUGAAUAUGGGGGGACCAUCCUCCAAGGCUAAAUACUCCUGACUGACCGAUAGUGAACCAGUACCGUGAGGGAAAGGCGAAAAGAACCCCGGCGAGGGGAGUGAAAAAGAACCUGAAACCGUGUACGUACAAGCAGUGGGAGCACGCUUAGGCGUGUGACUGCGUACCUUUUGUAUAAUGGGUCAGCGACUUAUAUUCUGUAGCAAGGUUAACCGAAUAGGGGAGCCGAAGGGAAACCGAGUCUUAACUGGGCGUUAAGUUGCAGGGUAUAGACCCGAAACCCGGUGAUCUAGCCAUGGGCAGGUUGAAGGUUGGGUAACACUAACUGGAGGACCGAACCGACUAAUGUUGAAAAAUUAGCGGAUGACUUGUGGCUGGGGGUGAAAGGCCAAUCAAACCGGGAGAUAGCUGGUUCUCCCCGAAAGCUAUUUAGGUAGCGCCUCGUGAAUUCAUCUCCGGGGGUAGAGCACUGUUUCGGCAAGGGGGUCAUCCCGACUUACCAACCCGAUGCAAACUGCGAAUACCGGAGAAUGUUAUCACGGGAGACACACGGCGGGUGCUAACGUCCGUCGUGAAGAGGGAAACAACCCAGACCGCCAGCUAAGGUCCCAAAGUCAUGGUUAAGUGGGAAACGAUGUGGGAAGGCCCAGACAGCCAGGAUGUUGGCUUAGAAGCAGCCAUCAUUUAAAGAAAGCGUAAUAGCUCACUGGUCGAGUCGGCCUGCGCGGAAGAUGUAACGGGGCUAAACCAUGCACCGAAGCUGCGGCAGCGACGCUUAUGCGUUGUUGGGUAGGGGAGCGUUCUGUAAGCCUGUGAAGGUGUGCUGUGAGGCAUGCUGGAGGUAUCAGAAGUGCGAAUGCUGACAUAAGUAACGAUAAAGCGGGUGAAAAGCCCGCUCGCCGGAAGACCAAGGGUUCCUGUCCAACGUUAAUCGGGGCAGGGUGAGUCGACCCCUAAGGCGAGGCCGAAAGGCGUAGUCGAUGGGAAACAGGUUAAUAUUCCUGUACUUGGUGUUACUGCGAAGGGGGGACGGAGAAGGCUAUGUUGGCCGGGCGACGGUUGUCCCGGUUUAAGCGUGUAGGCUGGUUUUCCAGGCAAAUCCGGAAAAUCAAGGCUGAGGCGUGAUGACGAGGCACUACGGUGCUGAAGCAACAAAUGCCCUGCUUCCAGGAAAAGCCUCUAAGCAUCAGGUAACAUCAAAUCGUACCCCAAACCGACACAGGUGGUCAGGUAGAGAAUACCAAGGCGCUUGAGAGAACUCGGGUGAAGGAACUAGGCAAAAUGGUGCCGUAACUUCGGGAGAAGGCACGCUGAUAUGUAGGUGAAGUCCCUCGCGGAUGGAGCUGAAAUCAGUCGAAGAUACCAGCUGGCUGCAACUGUUUAUUAAAAACACAGCACUGUGCAAACACGAAAGUGGACGUAUACGGUGUGACGCCUGCCCGGUGCCGGAAGGUUAAUUGAUGGGGUCAGCGCAAGCGAAGCUCUUGAUCGAAGCCCCGGUAAACGGCGGCCGUAACUAUAACGGUCCUAAGGUAGCGAAAUUCCUUGUCGGGUAAGUUCCGACCUGCACGAAUGGCGUAAUGAUGGCCAGGCUGUCUCCACCCGAGACUCAGUGAAAUUGAACUCGCUGUGAAGAUGCAGUGUACCCGCGGCAAGACGGAAAGACCCCGUGAACCUUUACUAUAGCUUGACACUGAACAUUGAGCCUUGAUGUGUAGGAUAGGUGGGAGGCUUUGAAGUGUGGACGCCAGUCUGCAUGGAGCCGACCUUGAAAUACCACCCUUUAAUGUUUGAUGUUCUAACGUGGACCCGUAAUCCGGGUUGCGGACAGUGUCUGGUGGGUAGUUUGACUGGGGCGGUCUCCUCCUAAAGAGUAACGGAGGAGCACGAAGGUUGGCUAAUCCUGGUCGGACAUCAGGAGGUUAGUGCAAUGGCAUAAGCCAGCUUGACUGCGAGCGUGACGGCGCGAGCAGGUGCGAAAGCAGGUCAUAGUGAUCCGGUGGUUCUGAAUGGAAGGGCCAUCGCUCAACGGAUAAAAGGUACUCCGGGGAUAACAGGCUGAUACCGCCCAAGAGUUCAUAUCGACGGCGGUGUUUGGCACCUCGAUGUCGGCUCAUCACAUCCUGGGGCUGAAGUAGGUCCCAAGGGUAUGGCUGUUCGCCAUUUAAAGUGGUACGCGAGCUGGGUUUAGAACGUCGUGAGACAGUUCGGUCCCUAUCUGCCGUGGGCGCUGGAGAACUGAGGGGGGCUGCUCCUAGUACGAGAGGACCGGAGUGGACGCAUCACUGGUGUUCGGGUUGUCAUGCCAAUGGCACUGCCCGGUAGCUAAAUGCGGAAGAGAUAAGUGCUGAAAGCAUCUAAGCACGAAACUUGCCCCGAGAUGAGUUCUCCCUGACUCCUUGAGAGUCCUGAAGGAACGUUGAAGACGACGACGUUGAUAGGCCGGGUGUGUAAGCGCAGCGAUGCGUUGAGCUAACCGGUACUAAUGAACCGUGAGGCUUAACCUUACAACGCCGAAGGUGUUU
rnacentral:rRNA from 2 species